UAGGGAAUAUUAGUAAUGGGCGAAAGCCUGAACUAGCAACGCCGCGUGUGCGAAGAAGGCCUUCGGGUUGUAAAGCACUUUUAGAGAGGAUGAGGAAGGACGGUACUCUCAGAAUAAGUCUCGGCUAACUACGUGCCAGCAGCCGCGGUAACACGUAGGAGGCGAACGUUAUCCGGAUUUACUGGGCGUAAAGCGCGUGUAGGUGGUUUGGUAAGUAGGGCGUGAAAGCUCCCGGCUCAACUGGGAGAGGCCGUUCUAAACUGCCAAGCUAGAGGAUGGUAGAGGGAGGUGGAAUUCCGGGUGUGGCGGUGGAAUGCGCAGAUAUCCGGAGGAACACCAGUGUCGAAGACGGCCGCCUGAGCCACUCCUGACACUCAGACGCGAAAGCUAGGGUAGCAAACG
rnacentral:rRNA from 1 species